AGGUCUGAAAUUCGAAUCAUCACCCGCAUUGGUUAAAAAAACCUACAUGAUACAAUGUCUCAACAUGAAAUUGAUGAUAUAGAGCGUGCCAUGCGGCUCUCUCUCUUGGAUCUAUGUGGAAAAGGGAAAAAUAAAAACGAGAAUGAACCUUCUUACGAUGAGGACAGAGACCUUGCUGAAGCUAUUAAGGCAAGCCUUAGAUCUCCAGGAGCCAGCAGGUAAAUGCAGCCAAGAAACUGGAGAUGUUAAUUACUCAGAGACCCAUCUUAUUUGUAUAUUACAAAUUCUAAACCGUCCUUAAUUUUCCUUAAUUUAAAAUAUAGA